AUUGAACGCUGGCGGCAGGCCUAACACAUGCAAGUCGAACGGCAGCACAGAAGAGCUUGCUCUUUUGGUGGCGAGUGGCGGACGGGUGAGUAAUGUCUGGGAAACUGCCCGAUGGAGGGGGAUAACUACUGGAAACGGUAGCUAAAACCGCAUAACGUCGCAAGACAAAAGUGUGGGACCUUCGGGCCUCACACACUCGGCUGGGCCUAGUGAGGGUUAGCUCGUGGGUGGGGUAAUGGCUCACCUAGGCGACGAUCCCUAGCUGGUCUGAGAGGAUGGCAAGCCACACUGGAACUGAGACGCGGUCCAGACUCCUACGGGAGGCAGCAGUGGGGAAUAUUGCACAAUGGGCGCAAGCCUGAUGCAGCCAUGCCGCGUGUAUGAAGAAGGCCUUCGGGUUGUAAAGUACUUUCAGCGGGGAGGAAGGCGGUGAGGUUAAUAACCUCGCCGAUUGACGUUACCCGCAGAAGAAGCACCGGCUAACUCCGUGCCAGCCGCCGCUGUAA
rnacentral:rRNA from 1 species